rnacentral:rRNA from 1 species
AACGAACGCUGGCGGCAGGCCUAACACAUGCAAGUCGAGCGGACCUUUCGGGGUCAGCGGCGGACGGGUGAGUAACGCGUGGGAAUAUGCCCUUCUCUACGGAAUAGUCCUGGGAAACUGGGGUUAAUACCGUAUACGCCCUUUGGGGGAAAGAUUUAUCGGGGAAGGAUUAGCCCGAGUUGGAUUAGGUAGUUGGUGGGGUAAUGGCCUACCAAGCCGACGCUACAUAGCUGGUUUGAGAGGAUGAUCAGCCACACUGGGACUGAGACACGGCCCAGACUCCUACGGGAGGCAGCAGUGGGGAAUCUUAGAAAAGGGGGGCAACCCUGAGCAAGCCAUGCCGGGUGAGUGAUGAAGGCCUUAGGGUGGUAAAGCUCGUUCAGCGGGGAAGAUAAUGACGGUACCAGAAGAAGAAGCCCCGGCUAACUCCGUG